rnacentral:rRNA from 1 species
GACGAACGCUGGCGGCGUGCUUAACACAUGCAAGUCGAGCGAGGGGCACCUUCGGGUGUCACCUAGCGGCGAACGGGUGAGUAACACGUGGGCAACCUGCCCUCAGCUCUGGGAUAACCCCCGGAAACGGGAGCUAAUACCGGAUAUGACCUCGAUUGGCAUCCUUCGAGGUGGAAAGAAUUUCGGCUGAGGAUGGGCCCGCGGCCUAUCAGCUUGUUGGUGGGGUAAUGGCCUACCAAGGCGA